GAUGAAGAACGUAGCAAAAUGCGAUAAGUAAUGUGAAUUGCAGAAUUCAGUGAAUUAUCGAAUCUUUGAACGCACAUUGCGCCCGCUGGUAUUCCGGCGGGCAUGCCUGUUCGAGCGUCAUUUCAACCCUCAAGCCCCCGGGUUUGGUGUUGGGGAUCGGCUCUGCCCUUCUGGGCGGUGCCGCCCCCGAAAUACAUUGGCGGUCUCGCUGCAGCCUCCAUUGCGUAGUAGCUAACACCUCGCAACUGGAACGCGGCGCGGCCAUGCCGUAAAACCCCAACUUCUGAAUGUUGACCUCGGAUCAGGUAGGAAUACCCGCUGAACUUAAGCAUAUCAAUAAGCGGAGGA
rnacentral:misc_RNA from 1 species